rnacentral:rRNA from 1 species
UACGGAGGGUGCAAGCGUUGUUCGGAAUCACUGGGCGUAAAGCGCGUGUAGGCGGCCCAUCAAGUCUGAUGUGAAAGCCUGGGGCUCACCCCCGGAAGUGCAUUGGAAACUGUUGGGCUCGAGUCCCGGAGAGGAGGGUGGAAUUCCUGGUGUAGCGGUGAAAUGCGCAGAUAUCAGGAGGAACACCGAUUGCGAAGGCAGCUCGCUGGGACGUUACUGACGCUGAGACGCGAAAGCGUGGGGAGCAAACAGG